rnacentral:rRNA from 1 species
AUUGAACGCUGGCGGCAGGCUUAACACAUGCAAGUCGAGCGGGGGAAGGUAGCUUGCUACUGGACCUAGCGGCGGACGGGUGAGUAAUGCUUAGGAAUCUGCCUAUUAGUGGGGGACAACAUCUCGAAAGGGAUGCUAAUACCGCAUACGUCCCACGGGAGAAAGCAGGGGAUCUUCGGACCGUGCGCUAAUAGAUGAGCCUAAGUCGGAUUAGCUAGUUGGUGGGGUAAAGGCCUACCAAGGCGACGAUCAGUAGCGGGUCUGAGAGGAUGAUCCGCCACACUGGGACUGAGACACGGCCCAGACUCCUACGGGAGGCAGCAGUGGGGAAUAUUGGACAAUGGGGGGAACCUUGAUCCAGCCAUGCCGCGUGUGUGAAGAAGGCCUUAUGGUUGUAAAGCACUUUAAGCGAGGAGGAGGCUACUUUAGUUAAUACCUAGAGAUAGUGGACGUUACUCGCAGAAUAAGCACCGGCUAACUCUGUGCCAGCCGCCGCAGUAA